CCCCGCGUCCCCGCCGCUGCCGCCCGCCCCGUGCCUUGGGGACGCCGGGCUCUCAGGGGAAGGCGGCGCGGGGGCCCGUCCGUACCCCGUCGGCACCGAGCCAUCAUCCGCAGUCGCCGUUCGGAUGGGAGCCAGCUGGGAACGCGGUCGUCUCUCUGUCGCUCUGUGCGUUCGUCGAUUAAAUGUUUCCCGUUCGUUUCUCGGCGCUUCUGCCCGCGGUCGUUUCUGCAGCUCCAGUAACCCACCCCGUCAAGGACGGGGCGGCGCAAACGGAAGAGAUUAAGACUGGCUGCACAGUUUUGAAAACUCUGCUCUGCAGGGCAGCUGCACUAUAAUGUCCUGCUGACACGAAUCCUGAACUUGUCUGCCCUCAGAAAGUCUUCCUGGAUGUUCCUAGAAGGUUGCUAAUAUUCCUGGCGCUAUUGGCCUAGCUGAAAACUCCCACUAGCUUAGCAGGACUGUCUUCUUAUUUUCCAUAUGAAAGAGCUGGAUUAGUAUUUUUCUUGCUCUCUUUUUUGGAUUUUUCUAACAAUCUCAAAAUCCUGUGAAGCAUGGCUUCCUCACAGCUUUCACACCUGUUCAGUGACUCUGUGUAUUUAUGCAUUUAUACAUGAAAUGAGCUUUAUUUGUUUCUGCAGUGUUGUUUUCACCUAACAUAUGUUUUAGUCUGAGAGUUAAAUCUGAGUUGUUUAUUUACUGCUGUGAUAAUGCUGAGGAUCUGCUCGAGGCACUGCAGCAGUGCAGUGCACACUUAUGCUCUCAAAUUCCAGGGCCCCCAUCCCAAGUGAUAAUGCAGAUAAUCUGGGGCCUUCUUAAAUUCCAGCACCUUUCAGAGGCUGGCUUACCCACAGCAUGCUCUGCACACCACUGUUUAAAUAUGCACACAAAACAGCUGGGCAUCUGCAAGGCUGAAAACGAGUCUUUCGGUGCUUAUUAAUUUUGCUCCAGGCCUUUUACAUUAGUAAAGUAUUCAGAAGGAAGGGCCAAAAUACAAAGCCGCCACCACUUUCUCUAAUUAAUGCAUACGAAGCUUCACAUCUCUAAUUACUGAGCAGUGUGUGCUGUGCAAAUAAAAAGCCCAGAGUCCAGAGGAUGUGUAAGGAACUCCGAGCUCUGCACUCCCUGUGCAGUGCAGUCUGGCAAAAUAAACUUCUGGCAUUCGCUGUUCAGAAGUGCAGUGUGCCUGAAGCAAAGUCCUUGCAAUUCACUUCUAUUCAGCGAAGGAUUCUUCACCUAUUUGAACAACUUGAAACAUUUUAGAGUCGUGGAACACUUUUGAAAAAGGAAGGUCUUUCAUAUUGAUAUUCAUGCCUAUUUAGAUUGUCCAUUUUCCAUCCCAGCUCAGCUACUGAUGGUUAUGCCUGAGUAAGCCAUAAAAAUCAGGUCUUUACUGGAGACAUCCCAUGCCAAAUAUUGUUGCUGUGUUGUUUUUAUUUUCUAUAGGUAGGAUGCCGCUGCAUUUACAGUGCAAUCAAAUGAGAAUGUGACAGAGACUCUGUAAGUGGUGGAUUUUGCUUCCUUUCUAAAUGGUGUGUAAAAAAAAGGGUACUGUUUUUUGCUUUGUACAAAAAUAUUUGCUCCUUUGUACAAAAACAUGGGUGUUUUCCAUCCUCUAAUUCAUUAAAUCUUGACCUGAAAGAAUAGGUGGUUAUACCAUUGCAGCUGUAAAUCUGUACUUUCUGAAAGUCUUUCACUAGGAUAGCACUGCAAAAAAGGAAAAACAGGAUGUCUAGAUACUUUUAAUUUUUGAAGGUACAGUCAGUUUACUUAUUUAUUGCACUUAAGAGAAGCAAGAAUGUGUGCUUUGGUCCAAUGCACAGCAAGGAAGUGCUCACGUGUGCUGUUGGUACACAUACCUCUCAUAUUACUGCAGCUUUAUCUAUCUUCCAUAUUUUAGUAGGUACCAUCUUUUAAGGGGGGGAAUACUGUUGGAAGUGAUCAUACUUUGGUGGUUUCUGGGCUCCUCUUGCUGAAUCCAGUUAGCCUGAAUGAAGGAUAUGGAGUGGCAGCAUUGCUGGGUGAACGCUACCGUUACUGAGAGCAGAAGAGUGAUUCUGUUUGUUGAUGUGCCUUUGGUCACUGAGCACCGUGAGAGCAUUCUGAGUAUUUGUAUUUGUAGUUCAGAUGGCAAGUAGCCUAAAGACUGCUUGUGUGCAAAUGACUCAGAGCGCAUCAGUGCCAUCUGCAUUGUAACACAUUACCUCUGAUUUUAAGCCUGAAAGUUCCUUCCAGUAUUAAGGCCCAGGAAACUCAUCAGCCAUCUGACCUGGGAUAAACCUGCCUUUUGUUUCUCAUUACAAUCCUGUUUUUUCUUUGUGAAAUUCCUUGGAACUGGUAUUAUCACACAAGACAGACUUCUGCACAGUGUGGUGUAAUAUAGUGAAUGUUUCUUUAUUCUUUGCCAAAUCCAGAAGGAGGUGCUUAGGCAGAUUUCCCUAUACCUCAUUAAAAAUAAGCCUGCUAAAGGAAUAGAUGAGAAAAGAAUUGAAAGGAUAUGUUUUGGUGUGGUGGUGGGUUUUUCUGUUUUGUUUUGUUUUGUUGUUGGUUUCUGAAAAAUGUCAGGAAGCAGAUUUUCGUCUUUUGAAGAAUUUCAGAGAUGUCUCUUCAUUACAGAAGGCCUUCUAACCAGCUGCAUCUUAUCAACUGCAAAGCAGCUGGAUAGCUUUUGAGGUUCAUGUUAUGCUGAGCAAUUUGUUCAUGGCAAAUUGAUCUACUGGGGUUAUUUAAUCUGGCUGAGUCAGCCAUCUUUAUAGAUGCAAUAUGCUGAGCACAGCUUGCAGCUCUCUCCUUUAGCGUGUGUGUGUUUGCAAGGCUUUGUCCCCAGCAGAAAGAGCACUUUUGCUGGGAGCUGUUUUGCUGCAGGACCAAACAUCUUGCAGGACUGGUGAUGUUUACUAGAUAUGCUUCCUAAAGAAUAAGCAUAGGCCAGAAUUUUAGAGGGUAAGAAUUGCAGAAGAAGCAUGGCCGACAAACGGAAGCUUUGUAGGUGAUUGAGGUCUCAGGAUGCAAUAAGCAUUAAAAGAAACUAGGGAUGACUUUUUUUUACUCAGAAGGUGGUGAGGUACUGGAACAGGCUGCCUGGAGAAGCUCUGGAUGCCUCUGGUGCUGAUCAUCCUGAUCUAAUGGGUGGCCCAUAGCAGGGGGAUUGGAACUGAAUGGUCUUUAAGUUCCUUUCCAAUUCGAGCCAUUCUAUGAUUCAAUGAUUUUCAAUGUCAGAAUUCAUGCAGUUAGUACUUGCCUAUGUGCAAACAGAGUCCACACCCUUUCAACAGAGAAGAGACCUUUUUGUCUGAGAACUAGUGGAAUUAGGGGGAUAGGGGAUAAUUUUAAAAAAUCCUGUUUGAAAUCAUACUUUGGGACACUCCUCACUUUGCCCUCACUUUCUAGAGCAUUUCUGAGCAAACUGAGUACUUCUCCCCCAUUUCUGCUGCUGCUUUCAAUAACUCAGGAAGCUAGCACUCUCUUUCCUGGCAAGGGAGGGAUGUAGGACUGACUCAGUUUCUGUGCAGGACACUGAGAAUGAAGAUGCUCUGUAGAUGACCAUUAGUAACGUAAGGCUGUCCUCUUCCUGGCAAAGCCAUUGGCACUGAGUCUGCUAGGAGUGAAGCAGCACUGCAGUGCCAGGCAGAGCUCCCAUUCCCUUCUUCCCUCCCCACCAUCAUGUGCUCCUCAACAAAUUUUCCACUGUUUACUUAGAAAUCCAUAAAACGAAAGACUGAGGCUGAAGAAGCUCCACCUGGGGAAGUCAAGGUCGAGGAAACCCCUGCUGCUGCUGUUGUGGGAAAGGAGGCCAUCCCUGCUGAGCCAGAUGAGCCAACAGAGCAGGCUGCGCUGAGUGAUCUGUCCCCCAUGUCCAUCUCCCAGCCUCAUCUGAGCCAUCUCUCAUCACAGGAUCAAAAUUUUUCACAGUUAAAGGGACAGAAUCACCACGUGCUCCAGAAGAGCUGAAGUGAAUGAACAUCGAGGCAUGUGAGUGGCUGAGAAAUGGAGUUGGGGCUCAGGGGAGCAAUUGAGCAAUGGGUGCCUGUGUCACAACCUUCCUGAGCGGCCCUUGCAAGCUCCUGCUCCCCUCGCCUGCAAGCGGAGCAAUGCUCAAGUUUGAGGAAUCUUUUCCUCGGCAGGCGGUAAAAGACGAUGCAGCUGCAAGUUUCGUGUCCUUCGUUGUCAUUGGGUCAGUAGACCAAGGAGAUGUUCAAAACAGCUCUAAGUCAGCCUGUCACAGCAGUGUGCGUGAGAGAAUAACGACUCCUUCUCCCCUCUUGUAGAAAGCAGCCUCCUUGAGAGCAGUAGAGCAGCAGGCUGCCUGCUGUGUGGUGCUGAAGGGCAUUUCUCCCAGCUGAGAUCCCCGAGCCCACGCUGGCGGAGAACGUGCUGCGCCACCAUCUCUUCUGUGGAGUCACUUUGCAGCUGCUCUGUGCGCUGGCCGUAAUCGUGCCAGUUUCCAGGUGCCAUAAGCCAGUAAGUCGUGCUCUCUGAGGCUGAUAGAAAGGCAUGGGCAAUGGGCAGGGAGGGAACAAUCUGUAGCUGUGGCCUACGGUGGUGUGCCCAGCACUGCUGAGAGUGCCGUCGUUUGUCCUGCCCUUCUUUCCGUGUGCACAUGUUCCUGAUGCACGCAAGGAGCCUUGGGGUGCAAGCUCUGCUGCUGCUGCUGCUGUGCUGUGUGUGCUUCCAGGCAGUGUCCAAGCCCUGUGCAGGCGCUGCCUUGCAGGAGAUGGCUUUGGGUUCGAGUUCGUAUGGGACUUUUGGGAAGGAGAUAGAAGUGGAGUUUCUGGCGUGCCCUGAUGCCAGGAAGGCGGUUUCCAGUGCUGGCAGCCAUAGCUGCCCGGGCGGGUGACUUGAGCUCCCCAAGCGAGCUGUCAGCCACUUGUUACCUGUGAAGCUUCCCUGACCGUUUGUGCCUUGAUUCUUGUCGGACUGGCACAGUCUUGGCACUCAGUCUGGCGAGACAGUGAAGAAAGCCAAGGCAAGUGCUGCUCGGCUGAGGAAGGAAGCCCAGAAGGAGAGCAAAAAGAAGUGAGAAGGGCUUGAGCGAGAAGGCCCACAGGACGCUGGAAUCAGCUGGAAUGCUUCCUCGGAGAUGGCACCAAAGGCAGCGGACUGAGUCAGCGUCCGGUUUUCUGGCAUGGCUGUGCUUUCCCUGUCACGGGCAGUGCAGCGGAACUGAGGCACCUGGAAGGGAAGGGCUUGUGCUGCAUUCCAAGCAAAGAGGGCUUGCCAGAGGCAGGUCUUCAUGUAUGGCAA